UCUCUCCGAAAUAGCUUUAGGGCUAGCCUCAAGUGAUGAUUAUUGGAGGUAGAGCACUGUUUGGACGAGGGGCCCCUCUCGGGUUACCGAAUUCAGACAAACUCCGAAUGACAAUUAAUUUAACUUGGGAGUCAGAACAUGGGUGAUAAGGUCCGUGUUCGAAAGGGAAACAGCCCAGACCACCAGCUAAGGUCCCAAAAUAUAUGUUAAGUGGAAAAGGA
rnacentral:rRNA from 1 species